AUAUUUACCUAGCAGGGGAGAUGCUAUGAUCAUGAAGGUAGUUUUCCCAGGGCGAGGCUUGUCCCUUGCACUCUGGAUGUGCUGGCCCCUGAAGUUUCCCCAAAUGUGGGAAACUUGACUGCAUAAUUUGUGGUAGUGGGGGGCUGCGUUCGCACUCUCCCCUG